rnacentral:pre_miRNA from 1 species
GGGGGGAGGCCGGAUCCUGGGCUGUGUCCCGGCGCCCUGUGCUCCGGAGCCUGCGCUGGUGGAUUCGCGCUCCCGGGCCGCCGCCGCGCAGCCCCCU